GACGUAGGGCGCGAGCGUUGUCCGGAUUUAUUGGGCGUAAAGAGCUCGUAGGCGGCUCGUUGCGUCAACCGUGAAAACCCGGGGCUUAACUUCGGGCUUGCGGUUGAUACGGGCGGGCUGGAGUUCGGUAGGGGAGACUGGAAUUCCUGGUGUAGCGGUGAAAUGCGCAGAUAUCAGGAAGAACACCAACGGCGAAGGCAGCUCGCUGGGACGGUACUGACGCUGAGACGCGAAAGCGUGGGGAGCAAACAGG
rnacentral:rRNA from 1 species